rnacentral:rRNA from 1 species
UAAGUAAGCUUUGAUCCAGAGAUUUCCGAAUGGGGAAACCCAGCAUGAGUUAUGUCAUGUUAUCGAUAUGUGAAUACAUAGCAUAUCAGAAGGCACACCCGGAGAACUGAAACAUCUUAGUACCCGGAGGAAGAGAAAGAAAAUUCGAUUCCCUUAGUAGCGGCGAGCGAAACGGGAAGAGCCCAAACCAACAAGCUUGCUUGUUGGGGUUGUAGGACACUCUAUACGGAGUUACAAAGGACGACAUUAGACGAAUCAUCUGGAAAGAUGAAUCAAAGAAGGUAAUAAUCCUGUAGUCGAAAAUGUUGUCUCUCUUGAGUGGAUCCUGAGUACGACGGAGCACGUGAAAUUCCGUCGGAAUCUGGGAGGACCAUCUCCUAAGGCUAAAUACUCUCUAGUGACCGAUAGUGAACCAGUACCGUGAGGGAAAGGUGAAAAGCACCCCGGAAGGGGAGUGAAAUAGAACCUGAAACCGUGUGCUUACAAGUAGUCAGAGCCCGUUAAUGGGUGAUGGCGUGCCUUUUGUAGAAUGAACCGGCGAGUUACGAUUUGAUGCAAGGUUAAGCAGUAAAUGUGGAGCCGUAGCGAAAGCGAGUCUGAAUAGGGCGUUUAGUAUUUGGUCGUAGACCCGAAACCAGGUGAUCUACCCUUGGUCAGGUUGAAGUUCAGGUAACACUGAAUGGAGGACCGAACCGACUUACGUUGAAAAGUGAGCGGAUGAACUGAGGGUAGCGGAGAAAUUCCAAUCGAACCUGGAGAUAGCUGGUUCUCUCCGAAAUAGCUUUAGGGCUAGCCUCAAGUGAUGAUUAUUGGAGGUAGAGCACUGUUUGGACGAGGGGCCCCUCUCGGGUUACCGAAUUCAGACAAA